ACCUUUGAAACACCGCUUCUCGUACGAUCACCAAAGUUAAGCAAUGUCGAACCGGGUCAGUACCUAGACGGGUAACUACUUGGAAAUACCAGUUGCUGUAAG